UGAAUACGAGACGCUAAGGCGUCGAAGUAGUGUAUAUCAGACUUCCAAGAAAAGCUUGCACUGUCAUAGAUAAAAAAUGCCUGUACCAUAACCGACACAGGUGGGUAGGUAGAGUAUACUAAGGGGCGCGAGAUAACUCUCUCUAAGGAACUCGGCAAAAUAACUCCGUAACUUCGGGAGAAGGAGUGCCUUAUUUAUAAGGUUGCAAUAACAAGAUCCAAGCAACUGUUUAUCAAAAACACAGGUCUCCGCUAAGUCGUAAGACGAUGUAUGGGGGCUGACGCCUGCCCAGUGCCAGAAGGUUAAAGAAGUUGGUUAGCAAUUGCGAAGCUGAUAACUGAAGCCCUGGUGAACGGCGGCCGUAACAAUAACGGUCCUAAGGUAGCGAAAUUCCUUGUCGGGUAAGUUCCGACCCGCACGAAAGGCGUAAUGAUUUGGAUACUGUCUCGGAGAGGGGCUCGGUGAAAUAGACUUGUCUGUGAAGAUGCGGACUACCUGCACCAGGACAGAAAGACCCUAUGAAGCUUUACUGUAACUUGAAAUUGAAAUUGGACUUUAUUCGCGCAGCAUAGGUGGGAGGCGUUGAUUAUAAUCUUGCGGGAUUAUUGGAGCCAUCAGUGAGAUACCACUCUUGUAAUGUUAGAUUUCUAACUUUGAAUCAUUAUCUGGUCAAAGAACAGUUUCAGGCGGGCAGUUUGACUGGGGCGGUCGCCUCCUAAAUGGUAACGGAGGCGUACAAAGGUUUCCUCUGAACGGUUAGAAAUCGUAUCUAGAGUGUAAAGGCAUAAGGAAGCUUGACUGUGAGACCUACAAGUCGAGCAGGGACGAAAGUCGGUCUUAGUGAUCUGACGGUACUGAGUGGAAAGGCCGUCACUCAACGGAUAAAAGUUACUCUAAGGAUAACAGGCUGAUCUCCCCCAAGAGUUCACAUCGACGGGGAGGUUUGGCACCUCGAUGUCGGCUCAUCGCAUCCUGGGGCGGUAGUACGUCCCAAGGGUUGGGCUGUUCGCCCAUGAAAGCGGUACGCGAGCUGGGUUCAGAACGUCGUGAGACAGUUCGGUCCAUAUCCGGUGUAGGCGUUAGAAUAUUGAGAGGAGCCUUCUUUAGUACGAGAGGACCGAGAAGGACAUACCUCUGGUGUACCAGUUAUCGUGCCAACGGUAAACGCUGGGUAGCUAUGUAUGGAGUGGAUAACCGCUGAAAGCAUCUAAGUGGGAAGCCCACCUCAAGAUAAGUAUUCU
rnacentral:rRNA from 1 species